rnacentral:hammerhead_ribozyme from 1 species
AUCCAGAUGACGAGUCCCAAGUAGGAUGAAAUAUGCGUCCUGGAU